CCGCACGGGUGAGUAACACGUAUCCAACCUGCCGUCUACUCUUGGACAGCCUUCUGAAAGGAAGAUUAAUACAAGAUGGCAUCAUGAGUUCACAUGUUCACAUGAUUAAAGGUAUUCCGGUAGGCGAUGGGGAUGCGUUCCAUUAGAUAGUAGGCGGGGUAACGGCCCACCUAGUCUUCGAUGGAUAGGGGUUCUGAGAGGAAGGUCCCCCACAUUGGAACUGAGACACGGUCCAA
rnacentral:rRNA from 1 species